rnacentral:rRNA from 1 species
GAUGAACGCUGGCGGCGUGCCUAAUACAUGCAAGUCGAGCGAACGGACGAGGAGCUUGCUUGUCGGAUGUUAGGGGCGGACGGGUGAGAAACACGUGGAUCACCUACUUAUAAGACGGGGAUAAUUACGGGACACGGGAGCAAACACCGGAUAAUAUUUUGAACCGUAGGGGUCAUAAGUGAAAGUCGGUGUUGCGGGCACUAAUAGAUGGAUACGCGCUGCAUUGGCUAGUUGGUAAGGUAACGGCUUACCAAGGGAACGAUGCAUAGCCGACCUGAGGGCGUGGUCGGCCACCCUGGAGGUGAGCCGCCGUCCAGACUCCUACGGGAGGCAGCAGUCUGGAAUCUUCCGCAAUGGUCGAGAGCCUUACGGAGCGGCGCGGCGUCAGUGAUGAAGGUCUUCCGUUCGUAAAGCUCUGUUAUUAGUGGAGAACAUAUGUGUAAGUAACUGUGCACAUCUUGACGGUACCUGAUCAGAAAGCCCCGGCUAACUACGUG